GUGCUUGCUUCGGCAGCACAUAUACUAAAAUUGGAAGGAUACAGAGAAGAUUAGCAUGGCCCCUGCACAAGGAUGACACGAAUAUUUGUGAAGCAUUCUAUACUAUA